UAGCCCAGUUGGUAGAGCAUGGUGCUUGCAAUGCUAGGGUUGUGGGUUCAAUUCCCAC
rnacentral:tRNA from 1 species